CCGGUUGAUCCUGCCGGACCUGACUGCUAUCGGAUUGAUACUAAGCCAUGUGAGUCAUUGUAGCAAUACAAGGCAGACGGCUCAGUAACACGUAGUCAAUCUACCCUAUGGACGGGGAUAACCUCGGGAAACUGAGGAUAACACCCGAUAGAUCAUAAUUCCUGGAAUGGUUUAUGGUCCAAACGAUUCGUCGCCGUAGGAUGGGACUGCGGCCUAUCAGCUUGUUGGUGAGGUAAUGGCCCACCAAGGCUAUUACAGGUACGGGCUCUGAGAGGAGAAGCCCGGAGAUGGGUACUGAGACACGGACCCAGGCCCUAUGGGGCGCAGCAGGCGGGAAACCUUUGCAAUGUGCGCAAGCACGACAAGGUUAAUCCGAGUGUUUCCUGCUAAAGGAAUCUUUUGUUAGUUGUAAAACCACUAUCGAAUAAGGGGUGGGCAAGUUCUGGUGUCAGCCGCCGCGGUAAAACCAGCACCUCAAGUGGUCAGGAGGAUUAUUGGGCCUAAAGCAUCCGUAGCCUGUUCUAUAAGUUUCCGGUUAAAUCCACUAGCUCAACUAGUGGGCUGCCGAAAAUACUGUAGAACUAGGGAGUGGGAGAGGUAGACGGUAUUCGGUAGGAAGGGGUAAAAUCCUUUGAUCUAUUGAGGACCACCUGUGGCGAA
rnacentral:rRNA from 1 species